GCCCUAGGGUCGUAAAGCACUUUCGCCAGAGAUGAUAAUGACAGUAUCUGGUAAAGAAACCCCGGCUAACUCCGUGCCAGCAGCCGCGGUAAUACGGAGGGGGUUAGCGUUGUUCGGAAUUACUGGGCGUAAAGCGCACGUAGGCGGAUUAGUAAGUUAGAGGUGAAAUCCCAGGGCUCAACCCUGGAACUGCCUUUAAUACUGCUAGUCUUGAGUUCGAGAGAGGUAAGUGGAAUUCCGAGUGUAGAGGUGAAAUUCGUAGAUAUUCGGAGGAACACCAGUGGCGAAGGCGGCUUACUGGCUCGAUACUGACGCUGAGGUGCGAAAGUGUGGGGAGCAAACAGGAUUAGAUACCCUGGUAGUCCACACCGUAAACGAUGAAUGCCAGACGUCAGCAAGUAUACUUGUUGGUGUCACACCUAACGGAUUAAGCAUUCCGCCUGGGGAGUACGGUCGCAAGAUUAAAACUCAAAGGAAUUGACGGGGGCCCGCACAAGCGGUGGAGCAUGUGGU
rnacentral:rRNA from 1 species